GACUUUGUGGUAUAACGGUAGAACACCUGACGCGUAUUCGAGAGGUUCAGGUUCGAAUCCUGGCGAGGACA
rnacentral:tRNA from 1 species